CAGAGGACCUCACUUCUAGAGGCUGUGAGAAAGGAGCAGACGCUGGCAGGUCACGUCCUGGGAGCUCUGUCACCCUGACAGCCACCCCCCAAAGCCCGAUGGCAAGGCUCUUCUGCCGAGGACCCCAGCACCCUCCAGCCAGGCUCCGCCUAGACUCACAGUUCCAGAACUCUUCAGUUCUCUGCGUCCUGUCUGGCUACAGUGCAGAGAUUUAGGACUGGAUAGAGUGUCGGUGAGCAAAAGUGGAAGCAAGAGAGCAGACGGUCAGCUCCGCAGGAGGACAAGACAGAGAUGACUGAGGCUUGGAUGGGAGACACGUAGAGAGGAAGCAGGCCUCCACCAAGAACCCAACCAGGCGGACGCUCUGAUCCCAGGCUUCCGGCUUCCAGAACUACGAGAAAUAAACAUUUGUGGGAACUCCCGGGUAGUCCAGUGGUUAGGACUCUGCACUUUCACUGCCAAGGACACAGUUGCAAUCCCUUAUCAGGGAACUAAGAACCAGGCAAGCCGUACAGGCAGGCCAAAAGAAAACUGUUAUUUAAACUACCCAGACAAUGGUAUUCUGUUAUGGCCACCUCAGAGGACUAAGACAGGUCGGUUCUAAAGUCUUCAUACAAAGC
ensembl:lncRNA